CCUACGGGUGGCUGCAGUGAGGAAUAUUGGUCAAUGGGCGUAAGCCUGAACCAGCCAAGUCGCGUGAGGGAUGAAGGUGCUAUGGAUCGUAAACCUCUUUUAUCAGGGAAUAAAGUGUGGGACGUGUCCCUUUUUGUAUGUACCUUAUGAAUAAGGAUCGGCUAACUCCGUGCCAGCAGCCGCGGUAAUACGGAGGAUCCGAGUGUUAUCCGGAUUUAUUGGGUUUAAAGGGUGCGUAGGCGGGCUGUUAAGUCAGCGGUGAAAGGCUGUGGCUCAACCAUAGAAUUGCCGUUGAAACUGGGGGGCUUGAGUAUGUUUGAGGCAGGCGGAAUGCGUGGUGUAGCGGUGAAAUGCUUAGAUAUCACGCAGAACCCCGAUUGCGAAGGCAGCCUGCCAAGCCAUGACUGACGCUGAUGCACGAAAGCGUGGGGAUCAAACAGGAUUAGAUACCCGGGUAGUC
rnacentral:rRNA from 1 species